rnacentral:rRNA from 1 species
CAACCCGAUGCAAACUGCGAAUACCGGAGAAUGUUAUCACGGGAGACACACGGCGGGUGCUAACGUCCGUCGUGAAGAGGGAAACAACCCAGACCGCCAGCUAAGGUCCCAAAGUCAUGGUUAAGUGGGAAACGAUGUGGGAAGGCCCAGACAGCCAGGAUGUUGGCUUAGAAGCAGCCAUCAUUUAAAGAAAGCGUAAUAGCUCACUGGUCGAGUCGGCCUGCGCGGAAGAUGUAACGGGGCUAAACCAUGCACCGAAGCUGCGGCAGCGACACUAUGUGUUGUUGGGUAGGGGAGCGUUCUGUAAGCCUGUGAAGGUGGCCUGUGAGGGUUGCUGGAGGUAUCAGAAGUGCGAAUGCUGACAUAAGUAACGAUAAAGCGGGUGAAAAGCCCGCUCGCCGGAAGACCAAGGGUUCCUGUCCAACGUUAAUCGGGGCAGGGUGAGUCGACCCCUAAGGCGAGGCCGAAAGGCGUAGUCGAUGGGAAACAGGUUAAUAUUCCUGUACUUGGUGUUACU